rnacentral:sRNA from 1 species
AGGACUUUGAGCACCUGAAACACCCUCCACCGUUUUGAAACUUGUCGAAUCUACACAAAAGCAGAGAACAGCACGAGGGGCUCCUGGGAUCCACCAUGCGGCUUCCCCCGUUGCUGCCAACCUCUGCGACCCGGCGAGACACGCACAGCACACACGCAUCCCCUGCGGCGCUGGCCAAGUGCGUGCUGGCCGAGGUCCCGAAGCAGGUGGUGGAGUACUACAGCCACAGAGGCCUGCCCCCGAGAGGCCUGGGCGUCCCUGCCGGAGAGGCCAGCCCAGGCUGCACACCGUGAAGACGUGGAGGGCGUCGGGGGGGCAGUGAGGAGUGGGUCCGUACAGCCUCUGUCUCCAACAUGCUUGGGGUCCCUUAAGCUCCCUCCGACCUCCCAGAAGCCUCCAGUCCCCACCAGGCCCUACUCCCAGUCCUCCUGGGAUCCUGCUGGCUUGGGCCCGGCUCUGGGGCCCCCAAGGCCGAAGGGUGACAAAAUACAGGCCCCCAUGCCUGGCCCUGCCUG